rnacentral:misc_RNA from 1 species
CGAAUGGGUCCAAAGACUCUUAAAACCUACCGUGCUCCCCUACGUGGAAAACAGGAAAGCCCUCCGGGCAUAGGAAAUCUGAGAAGUUGAGAACUGCGCCCCGGCGCAUGACUAAAACAAAAAAUUA